ACUCCUACGGGAGGCAGCAGUGGGGAAUAUUGCACAAUGGGGGAAACCCUGAUGCAGCCAUGCCGCGUGUGUGAAGAAGGCCUUGGUUGUAAAGCACUUUCAGUAGGGAGGAAGGUAGUGUAGUUAACACCUGCAUUAUUUGUACGUUACCUACAGAAGAAGCACCGGCUAACUCCGUGCCAGCAGCCGCGGUAAUACGGAGGGUGCGAGCGUUAAUCGGAAUUACUGGGCGUAAAGCGCAUGCAGGCGGCCUGUUAAGUCAGAUGUGAAAGCCCGGGGCUUAACCUCGGAAUUGCAUUUGAAACUGGCAGGCUAGAGUCUUGUAGAGGGGUUAGGAAUUUCAGGUGUAGCGGUGAAAUGCGUAGAGAUCUGAAGG
rnacentral:rRNA from 1 species